GAGUUUGAUUCUGGCUCAGAUUGAACGCUGGCGGCAUGCUUUACACAUGCAAGUCGAACGGUAACAUGGGUGCUUGCACCUGAUGACGAGUGGCGAACGGGUGAGUAAUACAUCGGAACAUGCCCAAUUGUGGGGGAUAGCUCGGCGAAAGCCGGAUUAAUACCGCAUAAGAUCUAUGGAUGAAAGCAGGGGACCUUCGGGCCUUGCGCGAUUGGAGUGGCCGAUGGCAGAUUAGGUAGUUGGUGGGGUAAAGGCCUACCAAGCCUGCGAUCUGUAGCUGGUCUGAGAGGACGACCAGCCACACUGGGACUGAGACACGGCCCAGACUCCUACGGGAGGCAGCAGUGGGGAAUUUUGGACAAUGGGCGCAAGCCUGAUCCAGCAAUGCCGCGUGCAGGACGAAGGCCUUCGGGUUGUAAACUGCUUUUGUACAGAACGAAAAGUCUCUGGUUAAUACCUGGGGA
rnacentral:rRNA from 2 species